AUCUCCUACGGGGCGCAGCAGUAGGGAAUCUUCCACAAUGGGCGAAAGCCUGAUGGAGCAACGCCGCGUGAGCGAUGAAGUAUUUCGGUAUGUAAAGCUCUAUCAGCAGGGAAGAAAAUGACGGUACCUGACUAAGAAGCCCCGGCUAACUACGUGCCAGCAGCCGCGGUAAUACGUAGGGGGCAAGCGUUAUCCGGAUUUACUGGGUGUAAAGGGAGCGUAGACGGCUGUGCAAGCCAGAUGUGAAAGCCCGGGGCUCAACCCCGGGACUGCAUUUGGAACUGUGUGGCUGGAGUGUCGGAGAG
rnacentral:rRNA from 1 species